GUAUAUUGAGCGUACCUUUGCAUAAUGGGGGAGCGGCCUUUUUAUAGAUGGAGUAAUGGGCCGUGUCCAUGGAUCACGGCGAGAUCCUCGGAAGGAUGAGUAUGGAAAGAUAUCUCGGGGAUGUAGGAAACAUAAUUGGGGAGAUUGCCAUCUGGAGGGUAUCCCGUAAUUGUUGGUGUCGUGAUGGAGAAGAUCUCGCAAUGGAUAGUUUCCAUGUAUAGAUAGGAUUCCGAAGGAUUCUGGUGGAGAUUCCAAGAAUUCUACAUCGUCCAAGGGUGAGGAGGAGACAG
rnacentral:lncRNA from 1 species